CUGUUCCAUUCUUCAAACUGUACCCGAGAUCAUGCCCGGGAAGAGCCAAGAUGUUUCCAGUCCAUCUGAGGUUUCCACCAUGUUUCUCCAAUUUGUUUCUGAUCCUUUUGGUAAAUGCGCUCCUGAAAACUAACAAGCUCUUGAAGAAGCAGAGUCACACAUUCAUCAAUUUCUUUACAGAGAACCUGAUUACAGUACCU